UACAGAGGUCUCGAGCGUUUGUUCGGAUUCAUUGGGCGUAAAGGGUGCGUAGGUGGCGCUGUAAGUCGGGUGUGAAAUCCUGAGGCUUAACCUCGGAACUGCAUUCGAUACUGCGGUGCUUGAGGACUGGAGAGGAGACUGGAAUUCAUGGUGUAGCAGUGAAAUGCGUAGAGAUCAUGAGGAAGACCAGUGGCGAAGGCGGGUCUCUGGACAUUCCUACACUG
rnacentral:rRNA from 1 species